rnacentral:rRNA from 1 species
GACGAACCGUGCGAACGUUGUUCGGAAUCACUGGGCUUAAAGGGCGCGUAGGCGGGCUGCCGAGUCCGGGGUGAAAUCCUGCGGCUUAACCGCGGAACUGCCCCGGAUACUGGCGGCCUCGAGUGGGGUAGGGGCGUGCGGAACUCUGGGUGGAGCGGUGAAAUGCGUUGAUAUCCAGAGGAACUCCGGUGGCGAAGGCGGCACGCUGGACCCCGUCUGACGCUGAGGCGCGAAAGCCAGGGGAGCGAACGGG